rnacentral:lncRNA from 1 species
GUGGGAAGGGCAAAAGCACCGGGAUAUAUGAAGUCCUACACUAACUCCAAGAAGCCCUCUGCAGAACAACAAGGAGAUGACGUCUUUGCGUUCAAAGUGGAUACAUCUAUGACCACUGGGGGGGAGGGGAAAAUGUCCUCGGACACCUCUGCCAUUGAUAGCAGGUAGGAGCUAUUUGAAGGCAGUACUCAUUUGGUUACAUCUGAUGGGGCUCUCUCAAUUAGUCUUUCCUUGAUUCCUUGUAUCCUUUCUUCUUGCCUCCUUCUCAAAACUCAUUGGAGAAGACAUGGGGAGGGACCUUGGGGAGAUUCUCUUACAAUAUGGUUGAGAUGGAGUCAAGGAGAUAGGAUGUUAGGAAUCAAGGACAGAUUAAUUGAGAAAGACCCUGGGUCUCAUCUGUGUUGUAAUAGUGUCUUCUAGUGUUGCGGUAAAUAAUCCCUCAUGUCAAUGUGAUGUGAUUCAUUGCCGUUUUUUCCCCUAGUGCUACUCACAACUCCUGGGCAUUCCCCAGCACUGCCAAGAAGGGCCAAGCAGUCAAGGUAUGGAGGCAAACACUAAUUGACACAAUAUGAUGGGAGAACUUUUGAAUGGAGAGAUGGAGAUUGCCUCCUUUUGUGUGUGUGUGUGGUUCUCUUAUCUCGGUGUGUGAAGGUGUCUGUACUCUUGUCGGGUGUGUGUGUGUGAGACUGUGUGUGCGCGUAUGUAUACAUUUGUAAACCUGCGUAUGUGUACCCAUGUGUGUAUGCACCUCACUGAAUUGUCGAUGCAGUCCCAGGUAGCAGCUCCGCGGCGCCACGUGAAGAAGCACCUGUUCAGCGACACAGACACAGACGCCAUGAUGGAGAUCAGCUGGCUCAAAGAGUCCAGCAGGAAGCCCAAGCCCAAAGUGAUCGACUACAGCCGUCAGCCCCGGCUCCACCCUCCUGCCCCCAACACCACAUAUGAGUCCCCAGACUUACCACCUAGCUCACCCAAGCCUGUGAAGGAGAAAGCCAAGCCAAAGAAGAAGAGACAGAGGGUGAAGGAGAGAAGUGUAGAGCAGAAAGAGAACCGUGGAGCGGCACUGGUGGCGGCAGGGACCAGUCAAGCAGCCAGGAGGCCCCAGAGAGCCGCCGCCACCAAUGCCAAGAGCUACAGGGAGCCCGACAGCGCCAGCCAAUCAGAGACUGAAGAGCCGCCAGCUCCUAAGAAGCGCUCCAUCGGACCAGCGGAAAAGAUUGAGAAGGUUUGCCAAGAGGCUGUCGAGGUGAAGAAGAAAAAGGCAACCACCCCGGCCAAGGAACAGACGAAUGUACCGAAAGAGUCUUCUUGGGCUGCCCGGCUGGCCUCUUUCAAUCCUUCCCCGCCUGCCAUCGAGAGGAUGAGAGCUGCAUCCGAGAGGUCGCUGAUAGUCUUACCCCGGUCGCCCCUCACCCCGCAGGGCUCCCUGUCCGCCUCCCCUGCCAGCGGCCCCUCUUCACCCCUUGCCCUGGAGCUGCCCCCCGAACACCCUCGCAGCAGCGCGGGCUUCCAGCCCUCCUCCUUCUACAGCGCCCCUGGGAGGAAGAGUGACCGCAAAGCUAAGGAUCCCUCUCUCCCAUCCCUCCCCUCUCUCCCAUCCCUUACUCCCACUGGCAAGACUCCUGGCCUCCGCGCCCAGAGACCCAGUGCCUUAGAGGUAAGAUUCAAGGCUGAUACUGCACCAAUGGGCCUUCUGACACAUAAAAAUAAUACAUAAAUAAUACAUAAAAAUAAUAUAUACAGUACCAGUCAGAAGUUUGGACAAAGCUACUCAUUCUAAGGUUUGUCU